rnacentral:lncRNA from 1 species
GUUUCUCUCUUGGACCACUGUGAAACAUGGCAUAUGGAACAUGGGGCAUUGGGUUUAACAUAAUGAUACUUAGCAUUGUUAGGAGCGGCCGGAGAGCUAGGUGCUUAUUGUCUGCAUUUCUUAAGUCCUUUUAGGUGGCCGCAGAUCACAGGGGGCUUCUCAAGUGAAGACAAGUAUAUGUCCUCUCUUUUGAAUUUCAUUUUCUUUGGGAGAGUUAUGAAUUCGUAUUAAACUUCUCUAUGACAUUGAUGCUCGAC